rnacentral:rRNA from 1 species
AGGCAGCAGUGGGGAAUAUUGGACAAUGGGCGAAAGCCUGAUCCAGCAAUGCCGCGUGAGUGAUGAAGGCCUUAGGGUUGUAAAGCUCUUUUACCAGGGAUGAUAAUGACAGUACCUGAGAAAUUCCAGUUCCGGCUAACUCCGUGCCAGCAGCCGCGG